rnacentral:rRNA from 1 species
CAGUUUCUGGAAGUGGCAGCUGGAAGUUUAGUGAACCUUAUCACUUAGAGGAAGGAGAAGUNGUAACAAGGUUUCCGUAGGUGAACCUGCGGAAGGAUCAUUCG